GGCAUUCAAGGCAUGAUAGUGUAACAAAACAAUUAUAUGUUUCAUGCUCCAAUAUGAAUAUGAGUGAUAAGUGUAAAGCCUUGGUACUUAUAUUGCUUCUGUUUGUAUUCCUUGUACAAUGUAAGUCUCCCAUCAUCGACUACGCUUUAUCUUUGAAUUGGUUCUUGACAUAUAUAUAUAUAUAUAUACACACACACACACACACACACACACUACAUCCUCAUGAACACAUAAUCUAUCAGGUCAUCCUCAUGAGGAUAUCAUUGUUGGAACUACAAGGGGCCAAGCUGCUUUUAGCCUCACCAAAAUUGCACUUUGUCAACGGGAGAAACUUGAUAAUAAAAUGAUGUACUGCUGCACGCUUCAAAGGCCAAUAGUGUGCUAUGGCACUUUUAAGCUGUGUAAGACCAAUUGCUAUAGUCAUAAUCGCAAGUGACCGACUGCCCAUCCAGUCAAUGGUGCAUAAUCUAUGGAAAUCUCAAGGCCAUCUAAUUUG
rnacentral:lncRNA from 1 species